UGGAGAAAUGGCUGAGUGGUUAAAAGCGGCAGACUGUAAAUUUGUUGAAUUAAUUUCUACGUAGGUUCAAAUCCUACUUUCUCCAA
rnacentral:tRNA from 1 species